GGAGAAACUCAUUAAAUCGCAAGACCUUGCGCUCAUUGAGCGGCCGAUCCCUUAUUAGCUAGUUGGUGAGGUAAAGGCUUACCAAGGCGACGAUCAGUAGCUGGUCUGAGAGGACGACCAGCCACACUGGGACUGAGACACGGCCCAGACCCCUACGGAGGCAGCAGUGGGGAAUUUUGGACAAUGGGGGAAACCCUGAUCCAGCUAUGCCGCGUGAGUGAAGAAGGCCUUCGGGUUGUAAAGCUCUUUCAGCCGGAACGAAACGGUCACGGCUAAUACCUGUGACUACUGACGGUACCGGAAGAAGAAGCACCGGCUAACUACGUGCCAGCAGCCGCGGUAAUACGUAGGGUGCGAGCGUUAAUCGGAAUUACUGGGCGUAAAGCGUGCGCAGGCGGUUUUGUAAGUCAGAUGUGAAAUCCCCGGGCUUAACCUGGGAACUGCGUUUGAAACUACAAGGCUAGAAGGG
rnacentral:rRNA from 1 species